CCUACGGGUGGCAGCAGUGGGGAAUAUUGGACAAUGGGCGAAAGCCUGAUCCAGCCAUGCCGCGUGUGUGAAGAAGGCCUUCGGGUUGUAAAGCACUUUCAGUGGGGAAGAAAGCCUUGGGGCUAAUACCCUCGAGGAAGGACAUCACCCACAGAAGAAGCACCGGCUAACUCCGUGCCAGCAGCCGCGGUAAUACGGAGGGUGCGAGCGUUAAUCGGAAUUACUGGGCGUAAAGCGCGCGUAGGCGGUCUGAUAAGCCGGUUGUGAAAGCCCCGGGCUCAACCUGGGAACGGCACCCGGAACUGUCAGGCUAGAGUGCAGGAGAGGAAGGUAGAAUUCCCGGUGUAGCGGUGAAAUGCGUAGAGAUCGGGAGGAAUACCAGUGGCGAAGGCGGCCUUCUGGACUGACACUGACGCUGAGGUGCGAAAGCGUGGGUAGCAAACAGGAUUAGAUACCCGUGUAGUC
rnacentral:rRNA from 1 species